rnacentral:lncRNA from 1 species
GGAAGAGCUAAUAAAUGACCUUACCUUACAAUGCCUUUUUGUAGUCCCCAUAGCAAUGAUGGAACCUAGUGGAGUGAAAGGAGGGCAGAUGAGGUCCCUGUUGAAUGCGGAUCUGGACCAGUGGUUCUCUUGAUACAUGGAGCAGAAUGGGAGAGGGACUCCCCUCAAGACUUGCUCACUGCCUGGAGAUAGCCUAUGUGCUAGUCCUCUCUGGAAGAGAAGAGUUGGAGCAGUGAGAUGGAUAAGAUUUACUUGAGGGUCUGCCCUUGAGGUUAGAUGGCACCUCACAGACUCCUCUUAAAU